GACGAACGCUGGCGGCGUGCUUAACACAUGCAAGUCGAACGGAAAGGCCCUGCUUGUGUGGGGUGCUCGAGGGGCGAACGGGUGAGUAACACGUGAGUAACCUGCCCUUGACUUUGGGAUAACUUCAGGAAAGUGGGGCUAAUACCGGAUAGGAGCUCCUGCUGCAUGGUGGGGGUUGGAAAGUUUAGGCGGUUGGGGAUGGACUCGCGGGUUAACAGCUUGUUGGUGGGGUAGUGGCUUACCAAGGCGUUGACGGGUAGCCGGCAUGAGAGGGUGACCGGCCACAUUGGGCCUGAGAUACGGACCAGACUCCUACGGGGGGCAGCAGUGGGGAAUAUUGCACAAUGGUCGGGAGCCUGAUGCAGCAACGCCGCGUGCGGGAUGACGGCCUUCGGGUUGUAAACCGCUUUCGCCUGUGACGAAGCGUGAGUGACGGUAAUGGGUAAAGAAGCACCGGCUAACUACGUG
rnacentral:rRNA from 1 species